rnacentral:rRNA from 1 species
GAUGAACGCUAGCGGCAGGCUUAACACAUGCAAGUCGAGGGGCAGCACGGGUAGCAAUAUCUGGUGGCGACCGGCGCAAGGGUGCGUAACGCGUGAGCAACAUGCCCGUAUCAGGGGAAUAAUCCAGGGAAACUUGGUCUAAUACCCCAUAGCAAUUACUGGAGGCAUCUUUAGUAAUUUAAAGCUUUGGUGGAUACGGAUUGGCUCGCGUGACAUUAGCUAGAUGGUAAGGUAACGGCUUACCAUGGCUACGAUGUCUAGGGGUUCUGAGAGGAAGAUCCCCCACACUGGAACUGAGACACGGUCCAGACUCCUACGGGAGGCAGCAGUGGGGAAUUUUGGACAAUGGGGGAAACCCUGAUCCAGCCAUGCCGCGUGCAGGAUGAAGG